ensembl:lncRNA
UUGGGCUAACUUUAACUGUCCCUUAUACAUAUAAAUUAGGCUAUAAACUCAUCAUCAAAUAUGAUUAAUUGAGUUAUAGACUAUACCCCCCCCCCCCAUUUGUUAAGCAAACUUAGGUACAAUGAAAGGCGCUAUAUAAGUUCAAGUUGUUAUUAACUAAGCUGUUAGGUGUAGUGCCAUAUUUAAUUUGACCAGUAGUUGAUUAUCUAGUGUUCUCAUUCUGUAUUUUCACCCUCAACCACCCUACACUUUAGGAACCAAUGUCGUAUAGAGAGGAAUGUGUACAGGUGUACAGGUAAUUGCAUUUGUUAGAAAUGGCAAUGUAUGGGAAAUCGCUACCAGAACAGCAAACUGUACAGCGAGGCAACCCAAAGAAAUCCGCUUUCUUAUUUAGUUGUAUUGGUGACCAUUGUUUAAAGUACGGAGACUGGAGUAAUCCUUCUAAUGUGUAGGCUAUUUUAACCCCUCCCAAAAAUAAAAAUAAAAAAUGCCUGAGACACCGUGCCCUGAUGUUAGUGACUAACCAGCCAAAGACCAGAAAAAUUAGCCAACUUUUAUAUCAUUUCAUUGUAUUAUUAUUGUGAAUUUAUGUCUCUUUCCAAACAGAUAUGCCAGGACCUGGUUCAACUACUAAGAAAUGUGCGUCUUGUUCUAUGCCACUCAAUGUGGCUUGCAAGACGUGCAAGUACUGCAAAGCAGCGCAGCCCCACAAUCUGCGUUUGAAAAAAAAAAUAGAAAGGUUUGAUUUGAAAUCAGAGACAUGGGGCCAGGCCCAGAAAAAGAAUAACACUUCAUCCCACCUGAGGGAUGACGCUUCUUUGUUGCUGGAAAGGUUUCAAGCCCUUGGCUCCAGGGGUGUGUUAUUUAUAUCCCGCCCUGGAACUAAAUCGUGGACCUGUGAGGUUCUUCUGCCCAGAUGUAAAGUCACUGAGGCAGCAUCUGCCUGCCUAAAGAGGAUGGAGGCGUUGUUUGAAUUUGUUGUGCAAGGUUGGAGUCAGGCAGAGAAAGUAGCAGCCUCAGCAGCAGAGAUCCCACAGCCUCCUGUGGACAACUCACUGGCCACAUCAAGUUAUUAUGGAGCCCCUACUCUUCCCAUUCCUACCCCUCCAGCCCCUACUCUUGCCAUUCCUACCCCUCCCGCCCCUACCCUUCCCAUUCCUACUCUUCCCAUUCCUACCCCUCCCUCCCCUCCUCUUCCCAUUCCUACCCCUCCAGCCCCUACUAUUACCAUUCCUACCCCUCCAGCCCCUACUCUUGACUUUCCUACUCCUCCAGCCCCUACUCUUGACAUUCCUACCCCUCCCGCCCCUACUCUUUACCUUCCUACCCCUCCAGCCCCUACUCUUCCUAUUCCUACUCUUCCCAUUCCUACCCCUCCCUCCCCUCCUCUUCCCAUUCCUACCCCUCCAGCCCCUACUAUUCCCAUUCCUACCCCUCCAGCUCCUACUUUUGACUUUCCUACCCCUCCAGCCCCUACUCUUCCCACUCCUUCUCUUCCCAUUCCUACCCCUCCAGCUCCUACUUUUGACUUUCCUACCCCUCCAGCCCCUACUCUUCCCCUUCCUACUCUUCCCAUUCCUACCCCUCCAGCGCCUACUCUUGCCAUUCCUCCCCCUCCAGCCCCUACUCUUCCCAUUCCUUCCCCUCCAGCCCCUACUCUUCCCAUUCCUCCCCCUCCCGCCCCUACCCUUCCCGUCCCUACCCCUCCAGCCCCUACUCUUCCCAUCCCUACCCCUCCAGCCCCUACUCUUCCUAUUCCUACUAUUCCCAUUCCUACCCCUCCAGGGCCUACUCUUGCCAUCCCUGCUCCUGGAGGAAACAAGAGGAAGAAGAAGAAUGGUGGGUGUAUAUGUUUUUAAAAACAUGUAUCUAAUUUAUUUUUGAGACAAAGAAUCUAGUGAUUGUUUUGCAUUAGAAAAUUAAUGGACAUUUCACCAAAAACAAAUUGUGUAUUUCAGAUUGCUCUCACAGCAGCCAGGAGGUAUACAAGGGAGAUAUUUUGAAGGAACGAGUUAAAGAGGUUGGUCAGCCAUUACCUGAUAUGGAUAAAAACUAGGCAGUAGAACAUUAAAGAAUGGAUGUUAUUGCAGGGUUAGAACUGAACUUAUUAACACGUAAGACUAAUCUACAUUGAACAUAACGAUGUGACAUGAUAUGACAUAUGAUUUUCUACUAUUAUUUCACAUAUGUUUUACAUUUGUGGUUCAAGAUUUUAUUUGUCACAUACACAGUUAUAUAGAGAAUAUAUAACCAGCAGUGAAAUGUAAAACAGGUCUGCUCCAUGGACAGUGCCAUUAUUAUCAUAAUACAAACACAAGAAGAAAUUCCGAAUAUAUAUAUAUAUAGACUAAUUGUGUACAGAAGUAUUAGACUAAUGCAUUUUAGGUGAACAGAAAUGUACAGAGAUACUUACAGAAAUAUUUGGGUGAACAGAAAUUUACAAGACAUGUGCAAUGUAAAACAGGUUAUUGUAUAUACUGUAUGUAGACAGAUAUCAUAUACUGUAUGUAGACAAAUUAACUCAAAAUACAGUCCAAAAUAAAGAGUAUUUUAUUUAUGAAAGUGUAUUGAUA